rnacentral:rRNA from 1 species
CCUACGGGUGGCAGCAGUCGAGAAUCAUUCACAAUGGGGGAAACCCUGAUGGUGCGACGCCGCGUGGGGGAAUGAAGGUCUUCGGAUUGUAAACCCCUGUCAUGUGGGAGCAAAUUAAAACGAUCGUACCACACGAGGAAGAGACGGCUAACUCUGUGCCAGCAGCCGCGGUAAUACAGAGGUCUCAAGCGUUGUUCGGAAUCACGGGGCGUAAAGCGUGCGUAGGCUGUUUCGUAAGUCGUGUGUGAAAGGCGCGGGCUCAACCCGCGGACGGCACAUGAUACUGCGAGACUAGAGUAAUGGAGGGGGAACCGGAAUUCUCGGUGUAGCAGUGAAAUGCGUAGAUAUCGAGAGGAACACUCGUGGCGAAGGCGGGUUCCUGGACAUUAACUGACGCUGAGGCACGAAGGCCAGGGGAGCGAAAGGGAUUAGAUACCCCAGUAGUC